ensembl:snRNA U6 U6 spliceosomal RNA
GUGCUUGCUUCUGCAGCAUAUAUACUAAAAUUGGAAUGACACAGAGAAGAUUAGCAUGGUCCCGGCACAAGGAUGACAUGCAAAUUGGUGAAGUUUUCUGUAUUUUU